rnacentral:rRNA from 1 species
CCGCGGUAAUACUAAGGGGGCUAGCGUUGUUCGGAAUUACUGGGCGUAAAGGGCGCGUAAGCGGUUCUUUAAGUCAGGUGUGAAAUCUCCGGGCUCAACUCGGGGGCUGCCUUCGAAACUGGAGUGCUUGAGUGCGGGAGAGGUGAGUGGAAUUCCCGGUGUAGAGGUGAAAUGCGUAGAUAUUGGGAGGAACACCUGUGGCGAAGGCGGCUCACUGGACCAUUACUGACGCUGAGGCGCGAAAGCGUGGGGAGCAAACAGGAUUAGAUACCCUGGUAGUCCACGCCCUAAACGAUG